rnacentral:rRNA from 1 species
UGAAUACGAGACGCUAAGGCGUCGAAGUAGUGUAUGUCAUACUUCCAAGAAAAGCUUGCACUGUCAUAGAUAAAAAACGCCUGUACCAUAACCGACACAGGUGGGUAGGUAGAGUAUACUAAGGGGCGCGAGAUAACUCUCUCUAAGGAACUCGGCAAAAUAACUCCGUAACUUCGGGAGAAGGAGUGCCUUAUUCGUAAGGUUGCAAUAACAAGAUCCAAUCAACUGUUUAUCAAAAACACAGGUCUCCGCUAAGUCGUAAGACGAUGUAUGGGGGCUGACGCCUGCCCAGUGCCAGAAGGUUAAAGAAGUUGGUUAGCAAUUGCGAAGCUGAUAACUGAAGCCCUGGUGAACGGCGGCCGUAACUAUAACGGUCCUAAGGUAGCGAAAUUCCUUGUCGGGUAAGUUCCGACCCGCACGAAAGGCGUAAUGAUUUGGAUACUGUCUCGGAGAGGGGCUCGGUGAAAUAGACUUGUCUGUGAAGAUGCGGACUACCUGCACCAGGACAGAAAGACCCUAUGAAGCUUUACUGUAACUUGAAAUUGAAAUUGGACUUUAUUCGCGCAGUAUAGGUGGGAGGCGUUGAUUAUAAUCUUGUGGGAUUAUUGGAGCCAUCAGUGAGAUACCACUCUUGUAAUGUUAGAUUUCUAACUUUGAAUCAUUAUCUGGUCAAAGAACAGUUUCAGGCGGGCAGUUUGACUGGGGCGGUCGCCUCCUAAACGGUAACGGAGGCGUACAAAGGUUUCCUCUGAACGGUUAGAAAUCGUAUCUAGAGUGUAAAGGCAUAAGGAAGCUUGACUGUGAGACCUACAAGUCGAGCAGGGACGAAAGUCGGUCUUAGUGAUCUGACGGUACUGAGUGGAAAGGCCGUCACUCAACGGAUAAAAGUUACUCUAAGGAUAACAGGCUGAUCUCCCCCAAGAGUUCACAUCGACGGGGAGGUUUGGCACCUCGAUGUCGGCUCAUCGCAUCCUGGGGCGGUAGUACGUCCCAAGGGUUGGGCUGUUCGCCCAUGAAAGCGGUACGCGAGCUGGGUUCAGAACGUCGUGAGACAGUUCGGUCCAUAUCCGGUGUAGGCGUUAGAAUAUUGAGAGGAGCCUUCUUUAGUACGAGAGGACCGAGAAGGACAUACCUCUGGUGUACCAGUUAUCGUGCCAACGGUAAACGCUGGGUAGCUAUGUAUGGAGUGGAUAACCGCUGAAAGCAUCUAAGUGGGAAGCCCACCUCAAGAUAAGUAUUCUCAUC